rnacentral:rRNA from 1 species
UAUUAUAUUUAAUGUUAAUUUAUUACUGGGGUAAUAAUAGUAAGUUCUUAAAACCCAAAGAAUUUGGCGGUGUUUUAGUCUUUUCAGAGGAAUCUGUUCUGUAAUUGAUAAUACACGAUUUGUUUUACUUAAUUUUGUUAUCAGUUUAUAUACCGUCGUCAUAAGAUUAUUUUUAUUUAAGAAUAUUUUCUUGUUUUUUAAUUAUAAAAUAUGUCAGAUCAAGGUGUAGCUUAUAAUUAAGUGGAGAUGGAUUACAAUAAUAGUAAUUAUAUGAAUAAUUAUUUUAGAUUAAUUUGAAGGUGGAUUUGAUUGUAAAUUUAUUUUUAAUUUUUAUAUUGAUUAAAGCUCUAGAAUGUGCACAUAUCGCCCGUCGCUCUCAUUAUUUUAAAAUGAG